rnacentral:rRNA from 1 species
UACAGAGGGUGCGAGCGUUAAUCGGAAUUACUGGGCGUAAAGCGUGCGUAGACGGUUAUCUAAGUCGGAUGUGAAAGCCCCGGGCUCAACCUGGGAAUUGCAUUCGAGACUGAAUAGCUAGGGUGCGGUAGAGGGAAGCGGAAUUUCCGGUGUAGCGGUGAAAUGCGUAGAUAUUCGCAAGAACACCAGUGGCGAAGGCGGCUCACUGGCCCGAUACUGACGCUGAGGCACGAAAGCGUGGGGAGCAAACAGG